UACGUAGGGGGCUAGCGUUGUCCGGAAUCAUUGGGCGUAAAGAGCGUGUAGGCGGCCCGGUAAGUCCGCUGUAAAAGUCAAAGGCUCAACCUUUGAAUGUCAGUGGAUACUGCCGGGCUAGAGUCCGGAAGAGGCGAGUGGAACUCCUGGUGUAGCGGUGAAAUGCGCAGAUAUCGGGAGGAACACCUAUGGCGAAGGCAGCUCGCUGGGACGUUACUGACGCUGAGACGCGAAAGCGUGGGGAGCGAACAGG
rnacentral:rRNA from 1 species